UGCCCAGCAACUCCUAUCCCUACCUCCUAGUGGUACUGGCUGGGGUACGAGUAACCUUGGGGAAGAUCGGGUGGGAACUUUGGUCGUAUGCUGACAGGGAAAG
rnacentral:ribozyme from 1 species